AAUCCAUGGUGCGGGAUUUUUCUCAUAAUUUCCUUAAGUCACUCACAUGCUUCAAAGAGCGAUUCUUCAUCAUUUUUCCUAAACUAGGUGAUUUGGUUACUUAGUUA